GCUUGUAUAGUUUAAUGGUUAAAACAUUUGUCUCAUAAAUAAAUUAUAUGGGUUCAAUUCCUGUUAUAAGCA
rnacentral:tRNA from 1 species